UCCUGGCGUCAGAUUGAACGCUGGCGGCGUGCUUAACACAUGCAAGUCGCGCGUGAAAGGACUUCGGUCCGAGUAAAGCGGCGCACGGGUGAGUAACGCGUGGAUGAUCUACCCAUGAGUUAGGAAUAACGGCUGGAAACGGUCGCUAAUACCAAAUACGCUCCGAUUUCAACUUCGGGGGGAAAGGUGGCCUCUGCUUGCAAGCUACUGCUCAUGGAUGAGUCCGCGUCCCAUUAGCUAGUUGGUGGGGUAACGGCCCACCAAGGCGACGAUGGGUAGCCGGUCUGAGAGGAUGACCGGCCACACUGGGACUGGAACACGGCCCAGACUCCUACGGGAGGCAGCAGUGGGGAAUAUUGCGCAAUGGGCGAAAGCCUGACGCAGCGACGCCGCGUGAGGGAUGAAGGUCCUCGGAUCGUAAACCUCUGUCAGGAGGGAAGAACCGCCACGGUGCUAAUCAGCCGUGGUCUGACGGUACCUCCAAAGGAAGCACCGGCUAACUCCGUGCCAGCCGCUGC
rnacentral:rRNA from 1 species